UACGUAGGGGGCAAGCGUUGUCCGGAAUCAUUGGGCGUAAAGAGCGUGUAGGCGGUUCGGUAAGUCGGCUGUGAAAGUCCAGGGCUCAACCCUGGAAUGCCGGUGGAUACUGUCGGGCUAGAGUUCGGAAGAGGCAAGUGGAAUUCCUGGUGUAGCGGUGGAAUGCGCAGAUAUCAGGAGGAACACCUAUAGCGAAGGCAGCUUGCUGGGACGACACUGACGCUGAGGCGCGAAAGCGUGGGGAGCGAACAGG
rnacentral:rRNA from 1 species